rnacentral:sRNA from 1 species
AAUAGAGGAACUCAGACUAAGAACUUCACAUCCUGCAAAAAACGCCUGAGUGGCCGACAUCGUGUCGG